rnacentral:rRNA from 1 species
UACAGAGGGUGCGAGCGUUAAUCGGAAUUACUGGGCGUAAAGCGUGCGUAGACGGUUAUCUAAGUCGGAUGUGAAAGCCCCGGGCUCAACCUGGGAAUGGCCAUGGAAACUGGCGAACUGGAGUCCGGUAGAGGAGUGUGGAAUUCCCGGUGUAGCGGUGAAAUGCGCAGAUAUCGGGAGGAACACCCGUAGCGAAGGCGGCUCUCUGGGACGGUACUGACGCUGAGACGCGAAAGCGUGGGGAGCGAACAGG